GGCGAAGUUCGUCCGCGGGACUCGGAAUGGCCCCAGACUUGGCGGACGGCCUCCGUGUGCCAAAAAUAGGCCACGGGCACAGCCGCGCCCAAAAAUCAGCCCCCGAAGGUCGGGGUCCCAAGACCCCCCAGCGGAAAAAUGGCCAAAAAACGGGUGGGCUAUAGCCUUGGUGGGGGGUGUGGGCGAAGUUCGUCCGCCGGACUCGGAAUGGCCCCAGACUUGGCGGCCGGCCUCCGUGUGCCAAAAAUAGGCCACGGGCACAGCCGCGCCCAAAAAUCAGCCCCCGAAGGUCGGGGUCCCAAGACCCCCCAGCGGAAAAAUGCCCAAAAAACGGGUGGGCUAUAGCCUUGGUGGGGGGCGUGGGCGAAGUUCGUCCGACGGACUCGGAAUGGCCCCAGACUUGGCGGGCGGCCUCCGUGUGCCAAAAAUAGGCCACGGCCACAGCCGCACCCAAAAAUCAGCCCCCCAAGGUCGGGGUCCCAAGACCCCCCAGCGGAAAAAUGGCCAAAAAACGGGUGGGCUAUAGCCUAUGUGGGGGGCGUGGGCGAAGUACGUCCGCGGGACUCGGAAUGGCCCCAGACUUGGCGGGCGGCCUCCGUGUGCCAAAAAUAGGCCACGGGCACAGCCGCGCCCAAAAAUCAGCCCCCGAAGGUCGGGGUCCCAAGACCCCCCAGCGGAAAAAUCGCCAAAAAACGGGUGGGUUAUAGCCUUGGUGGGGGGCGUGGGCGAAGUUCGUCCGCGGGACUCGGAAUGGCCCCAGACUUGGCGGGCGGCCUCCGUGUGCCAAAAAUAGGCCACGGGCACAGCCGAGCCCAAAAAUCAGCCCCCGAAGGUCGGGGUCCCAAGACCCCCCAGCCGAAAAAUGGCCAAAAAACGGGUGGGCUAUAGCCUUGGUGGGGGGCGUGGGCGAAGUUCGUCCGCGGGACUCGGAAUGGCACCAGACUUGGUGGGCGGCUCCGUGUGCAAAAAAUAGACCACGGGCACAGCCGCGCCUAAAAAUCAGCCCCCGAAGGUCGGGGUCCCAAGACCCCCCAGCGGAAAAAUGGCCAAAAAAUGGGUGGGCUAUAGCCUAUGUGGGGGGCGUGGGCGAAGUUCGUCCGCGGGACUCGGAAUGGCCCCAGACUUGGCGGACGGCCUCCGUGUGCCAAAAAUAGGCCACGGGCACAGCCGCGCCCAAAAAUCAGCCCCCGAAGGUCGGGGUCCCAAGACCCCCCAGCGGAAAAAUGGCCAAAAAACGGGUGGGCUAUAGCCUUGGUGGGGGGUGUGGGCGAAGUUCGUCCGCCGGACUCGGAAUGGCCCCAGACUUGGCGGGCGGCCUCCGUGUGCCAAUAAUAGACCACGGGCACAGCCGCGCCCAAAAAUCAGCCCCCGAAGGUCGGGGUCCCAAGACCCCCCAGCCGAAAAAUGGCCAAAAAACGGGUGGGCUAUAGCCUUGGCGGGGGGCGUGGGCGAAGUUCGUCCGCGGGACUCGGAAUGGCCCCAGACUUGGCGGGCGGCCUCCGUGUGCCAAAAAUAGGCCACGGGCACAGCCGCGCCCAAAAAUCAGCCCCCGAAGGUCGGCGUCCCAAGACCCCCCAGCGGAUAAAUGGCAAAAAAAUGGGUGGCCUAUAGCCUUGGUGGGGGGCGUGGGCGAAGUUCGUCCGCGGGACUCGGAAUGGCCCCAGACUUGGCGGGCGGCCUCCGUGUGCCAAAAAUAGGCCACGGGCACAGCCGCGCCCAAAAAUAAGCCUCCAAAGGUCGGGGUCCCAAGACCCCCCAGCCGAAAAAUGGCCAAAAAACGGGUGGGCUAUAGCCUAUGUGGGGGGCGUGGGCGAAGUUCGUCCGCGGGACUCGGAAUGGCCCCAGACUUGGCGGGCGGCCUCCGUGUGCCAAAAUAAGCCACGGGCACAGCCGCGCCAAAAAUCAGCCCCCGAAGGUCGGGGUCCCAAGACCCCCCAGCGGAAAAAUGGCCAAAAAAUGGGUGGGCUAUAGCCUUGGUGGGGGGCGUGGGCGAAGUUCGUCCGCUGGACUCGGAAUGGCCCCAGACUUGGUGGGCGGCCUCCGUGUGCCAAAAAUAGACCACGGGCACAGCCGUGUCCAAAAAUCAGCCCCCCAAGGUCGGGGUCCCAAGACCCCCCAGCGGAAAAAUGGCCAAAAAACGGGUGGGCUAUAGCCUAUGUGGGGGGCGUGGGCGAAGUUCGUCCGCGGGACUCGGAAUGGCCCCAGACUUGGCGGCCGGCUUCCAUGUGCCAAAAAUAGGCCACGGGCACACCGCGCCCAAAAAUCAGCCCCCGAAGGUUGGGGUCCCAAGACCCCCCAGCGGAAAAAUGGCCAAAAAAUGGGUGGGCUAUAGCCUAUGUGGGGGGCGUGGGCGAAGAUUGUCCGCGGGACUCGGAAUGGCCCCCGACUUGGCGGCCGGCCUCCGUGUGCCAAAAAUAUGCAAUGGGCACAGCCGCGCCCAAAAAUCAGCCCCCGAAGGUCGGGGUCCCAAGACCCCCCAGCAGAAAAAUGGCCAAAAAAUGGGUGGGCUAUAGCCUAUGUGGGGGGCGUGGGCGAAGUUCGUCCGCGGGACUCGGAAUGGCCCCAGACUUGGCGGACGGCCUCCGUGUGCCAAAAAUAGGCCACGGGCACAGCCGCACCAAAAAAUCAGCCCCCCAAGGUCGGGGUCCCAAGACCCCCCAGCGGAAAAAUGGCCAAAAAACGGAUGGGCUAUAGCCUAUGUGGGGGGCGUGGGCGAAGUUCGUCCGCCGGACUCGGAAUGGCCCCAGACUUGGCGGGCGGCCUCCGUGUGCCAAAAAUAGGCCACGGGCACAGCCGUGCCCAAAAAUCAGCCCCCGAAGGUCGGGGUCCCCAGACCCCCCAGCGGAAAAAUGGCCAAAAAACGGGUGGGCUAUAGCCUUGGUGGGGGGCGUGGGCGAAGUUCGUCCGCCGGACUCGGAAUGGCCCCAGACUUGGCGGGCGGCCUCCGUGUGCCAAAAAUAGGCCACGGGCACAGCCGCGCCCAAAAAUCAGCCCCCGAAGGUCGGGGUCCCAGGACCCCCCAGCCGAAAAAUGGCCAAAAAACGGGUGGGCUAUAGCCUUGGUGGGGGGCGUCGGCGAAGUUCGUCCGCGGGACUCGGAAUGGCCCCAGACUUGCCGGCCGGCCUCCGUGUGCCUAAAAUAGGCCACGGGCACAGCCGCGCCCAAAAAUCAGCCCCCGAAGGUCGGGGUCCCAAGACCCCCCAGCGGAAAAAUGGCCAAAAAACGGGUGGGCUAUAGCCUUGGUGGGGGGCGUGGGCGAAGUUCGUCCGCGGGACUCGGAAUGGCCCCAGACUUGGCGGGCAGCCUCCGUGUGCCAAAAAUAGGCCACGGGCACAGCCGCGCCCAAAAAUAAGCCCCCAAAGGUCGGGGUCCCAAGACCCCCAUGCGGAAAAAUGGCCAAAAAACGGGUGGUCUAUAGCCUAUGUGGGGGGCGUGGGCGAAGUUCGUCCGCGGGACUCGGAAUGGCCCCAGACUUGGCUGGCGGCCUCCGUGUGCCAAAAAUAGGCCACGGGCAUAGCCGCGCCCAAAAAUCAGCCCCCGAAGGUCGGGGUCCCAAGACCCCCCAGCGGAAAAAUGGCCAAAAAACGGGUGGGCUAUAGCCUUGGUGGGGGGCGUCGGCGAAGUUCGUCCGCGGGACUCGGAAUGGCCCCAGACUUGCCGGCCGGCCUCCGUGUGCCUAAAAUAGGCCACGGGCACAGCCGCGCCCAAAAAUCAGCCCCCGAAGGUCGGGGUCCCAAGACCCCCCAGCGGAAAAAUGGCCAAAAAACGGGUGGGCUAUAGCCUUGGUGGGGGGCGUCGGCGAAGUUCGUCCGCGGGACUCGGAAUGGCCCCAGACUUGCCGGCCGGCCUCCGUGUGCCUAAAAUAGGCCACGGGCACAGCCGCGCCCAAAAAUCAGCCCCCGAAGGUCGGGGUCCCAAGACCCCCCAGCGGAAAAAUGGCCAAAAAACGGGUGGGCUAUAGCCUUGGUGGGGGGCGUGGGCGAAGUUCGUCCGCGGGACUCGGAAUGGCCCCAGACUUGGCGGGCAGCCUCCGUGUGCCAAAAAUAGGCCACGGGCACAGCCGUGCCCAAAAAUAAGCCCCCAAAGGUCGGGGUCCCAAGACCCCCAUGCGGAAAAAUGGCCAAAAAACGGGUGGUCUAUAGCCUAUGUGGGGGGCGUGGGCGAAGUUCGUCCGCGGGACUCGGAAUGGCCCCAGACUUGGCUGGCGGCCUCCGUGUGCCAAAAAUAGGCCACGGGCAUAGCCGCGCCCAAAAAUCAGCCCCCGAAGGUCGGGGUCCCAAGACCCCCCAGCGGAAAAAUGGCCAAAAAACGGGUGGGCUAUAGCCUUGGUGGGGGCAGUGG
rnacentral:lncRNA from 1 species